GGUUGUUAGAUGUACCAACAUAGAAGGGAGAUAAAAAAGGGGAAACUGACAUUUCAACACAAAUAUGUGAUUACAGUAGAUAUUUUAACCCUUCAUAAAAGAACGUAAGUUUAAUAUGAUUUUAGCAGGUUGCUGUUGUAGCACUAUAAGAAAGAAGGAUUGCCUAACAAAAAAUACAAUAUGGUAGUGAUAUAUACACUUAAUAUAUACUGUAC